CGCCUGGGGAGUACGGCCGCAAGGUUAAAACUCAAAUGAAUUGACGGGGGCCCGCACAAGCGGUGGAGCAUGUGGUUUAAUUCGACGCAACGCGAAGAACCUUACCUGGCCUUGACAUCCAGAGAACUUUCCAGAGAUGGAUUGGUGCCUUCGGGAACUCUGAGACAGGUGCUGCAUGGCCGUCGUCAGCUCGUGUCGUGAGAUGUUGGGUUAAGUCCCGUAACGAGCGCAACCCCUAUCCCUGGUUGCUAGCAGGUAAUGCUGAGAACUCCAGGGAGACUGCCGGUGACAAACCGGAGGAAGGUGGGGAUGACGUCAGGUCAUCAUGGCCCUUACGGCCAGGGCUACACACGUGCUACAAUGGCGCGUACAGAGGGCUGCCAACUCGCGAGAGUGAGCCAAUCCCUUAAAACGCGUCGUAGUCCGGAUCGGAGUCCGCAACUCGACUCCGUGAAGUCGGAAUCGCUAGUAAUCGCGAAUCAGAAUGUCGCGGUGAAUACGUUCCCGGGCCUUGUACACACCGCCCGUCACACCAUGGGAGUGGAUUGCACCAGAAGUAGUUAGUCUAACCUUCGGGAGGACGAUUACCACGGUGUGGUUCAUGACUGGGGUGAAGUCGUAACAAGGUAACCGUA
rnacentral:rRNA from 1 species